AGUGAACGCUGGCGGUAGGCCUAACACAUGCAAGUCGAACGGCAGCACGGGAGAGCUUGCUCUCUGGGUGGCGAGUGGCGGACGGGUGAGGAAUACAUCGGAAUCUACUCUGUCGUGGGGGAUAACGUAGGGGAACUUACGCUAAUACCGCAUACGACCUACGGGUGAAAGCAGGGGACCUUCGGGCCUUGCGCGAUUGAAUGAGCCGAUGUCGGAUUAGCUAGUUGGCGGGGUAAAGGCCCACCAAGGCGACGAUCCGUAGCUGGUCUGAGAGGAUGAUCAGCCACACUGGAACUGAGACACGGUCCAGACUCCUACGGGAGGCAGCAGUGGGGAAUAUCGGACAAUGGGCGCAAGCCUGAUCCAGCCAUACCGCGUGGGUGAAGAAGGCCUUCGGGUUGUAAAGCCCUUUUGUUGGGAAAGAAAUCCAGCUGGCUAAUACCCGGUUGGGAUGACGGUACCCAAAGAAUAAGCACCGGCUAACUUCGUGCCAGCCGCCGCCGUAA
rnacentral:rRNA from 1 species